ACAGCUUGAACCUCUUGGCUAUUUCUUCCAGCAGGUGGUACCAGCCCAUCGAUGGCAAGAACUUGAACCGCACGGUGUCUCCAUUGUACGUCGCCUUGACCGUAAGUGCAGGGCUGCUCUUGUCCUUAAGUGGGCGUGCUGGGUUCUUCUUGAAUGUAGGGUGGCUUGAUGCACUGCCGCUAGAAGAGUCUGUCAUACCAGAGGUAGAAGGAUGAGUAUGCUCCCUGCCUUCGCGAUCAUCAAACAUAUCAAUAUCUGCUUGUUGCAUGGGUGGUGAGUUCCUUCCCACUAUUUGGUCCCUGGUAGUCUUGAUGCUUGGGAGGACACAGGGCAAAGGUUCGAUGCAACCUGUUUCUUUGUCAUGUAAAGCACUAACAGCACCAGUGGGAUAUAAUGGUCCUUGUGUUCCUUCAGAA
rnacentral:rRNA from 1 species